rnacentral:misc_RNA from 1 species
GGCCUCUGAUACAAUUGAGAACAUGUAUGACGUUGCUUUGAAGCCUCGGCUACUUCGGUCUCUGCUCAAAGAGUAUGUUCCUGACCUGAAGCAUCAAUUUCGGAAUCCAUCAGUUCUCUCAUAUGUUGUUUCUGCCAUUAAGACUCAUCAGCUAUUGUCCGAAUCAGCUCCACCGGAAUCUGAUGAAAAGUUGAUUGAAAACUGGACAGCAGCCGUCGAUUCCU